rnacentral:rRNA from 1 species
CGGCGGGUGCUAACGUCCGUCGUGAAAAGGGAAACAACCCAGACCGUCAGCUAAGGUCCCAAAGUUAUGGUUAAGUGGGAAACGAUGUGGGAAGGCUUAGACAGCUAGGAGGUUGGCUUAGAAGCAGCCACCCUUUAAAGAAAGCGUAAUAGCUCACUAGUCGAGUCGGCCUGCGCGGAAGAUGUAACGGGGCUCAAACCAUACACCGAAGCUACGGGUAUCACGUAAGUGAUGCGGUAGAGGAGCGUUCUGUAAGCCUGUGAAGGUGAGUUGAGAAGCUUGCUGGAGGUAUCAGAAGUGCGAAUGCUGACAUGAGUAACGACAAUGGGUGUGAAAAACACCCACGCCGAAAGACCAAGGUUUCCUGCGCAACGUUAAUCGACGCAGGGUUAGUCGGUCCCUAAGGCGAGGCUGAAAAGCGUAGUCGAUGGAAAACAGGUUAAUAUUCCUGUACUUCUAGUUAUUGCGAUGGAGGGACGGAGAAGGCUAGGCCAGCUUGGCGUUGGUUGUCCAAGUUUAAGGUGGUAGGCUGGAAUCUUAGGUAAAUCCGGGAUUCUAAGGCCGAGAGCUGAUGACGAGUUACCUUUUAGGUGACGAAGUGGUUGAUGCCAUGCUUCCAAGAAAAGCUUCUAAGCUUCAGAUAACUAGGAACCGUACCCCAAACCGACACAGGUGGUUGGGUAGAGAAUACCAAGGCGCUUGAGAGAACUCGGGUGAAGGAACUAGGCAAAAUGGCACCGUAACUUCGGGAGAAGGUGCGCCGGUGAGGGUGAAGGACUUGCUCCGUAAGCCCAUGCCGGUCGAAGAUACCAGGCCGCUGCGACUGUUUAUUAAAAACACAGCACUCUGCAAACACGAAAGUGGACGUAUAGGGUGUGACGCCUGCCCGGUGCCGGAAGGUUAAUUGAUGGGGUUAGCUAACGCGAAGCUCUUGAUCGAAGCCCCGGUAAACGGCGGCCGUAACUAUAACGGUCCUAAGGUAGCGAAAUUCCUUGUCGGGUAAGUUCCGACCUGCACGAAUGGCGUAACGAUGGCGGCGCUGUCUCCACCCGAGACUCAGUGAAAUUGAAAUCGCUGUGAAGAUGCAGUGUAUCCGCGGCUAGACGGAAAGACCCCGUGAACCUUUACUAUAGCUUUGCACUGGACUUUGAAUUUGCUUGUGUAGGAUAGGUGGGAGGCUUUGAAGCGUGGACGCCAGUUCGCGUGGAGCCAUCCUUGAAAUACCACCCUGGCAACUUUGAGGUUCUAACUCAGGUCCGUUAUCCGGAUCGAGGACAGUGUAUGGUGGGUAGUUUGACUGGGGCGGUCUCCUCCUAAAGAGUAACGGAGGAGUACGAAGGUGCGCUCAGACCGGUCGGAAAUCGGUCGUAGAGUAUAAAGGCAAAAGCGCGCUUGACUGCGAGACAGACACGUCGAGCAGGUACGAAAGUAGGUCUUAGUGAUCCGGUGGUUCUGUAUGGAAGGGCCAUCGCUCAACGGAUAAAAGGUACUCCGGGGAUAACAGGCUGAUACCGCCCAAGAGUUCAUAUCGACGGCGGUGUUUGGCACCUCGAUGUCGGCUCAUCACAUCCUGGGGCUGAAGCCGGUCCCAAGGGUAUGGCUGUUCGCCAUUUAAAGUGGUACGCGAGCUGGGUUUAGAACGUCGUGAGACAGUUCGGUCCCUAUCUGCCGUGGACGUUUGAGAUUUGAGAGGGGCUGCUCCUAGUACGAGAGGACCGGAGUGGACGAACCUCUGGUGUUCCGGUUGUCACGCCAGUGGCAUUGCCGGGUAGCUAUGUUCGGAAAAGAUAACCGCUGAAAGCAUCUAAGCGGGAAACUUGCCUCAAGAUGAGAUCUCACUGGAACCUUGAGUUCCCUGAAGGGCCGUCGAAGACUACGACGUUGAUAGGUUGGGUGUGUAAGCGCUGUGAGGCGUUGAGCUAACCAAUACUAAUUGCCCGUGAGGCUUGACCAU